rnacentral:rRNA from 1 species
AACGAACGCUGGCGGCAUGCCUAACACAUGCAAGUCGAACGAGCCCUUCGGGUCUAGUGGCGAACGGGUGCGUAACGCGUGGGAACCUGCCCUUAGGUUCGGAAUAACUCCUCGAAAGGGGUGCUAAUACCGGAUAAUGCCUUCGGACCAAAGAUUUAUCGCCUUUGGAUGGGCCCGCGUUGGAUUAGCUAGUUGGUAGGGUAACAGCCUACCAAGGCGACGAUCCAUAGCUGGUCUGAGAGGAUGAUCAGCCACACUGGGACUGAGACACGGCCCAGACUCUAAGGGAAGGAGGCAGUGGGGAAUAUGGGAAAUGGGGCAAAGGCCGAAGCAGGCAAGGCCGCGGGAGGAAGAAAGGCUUAAGAUUGGUAAAGCUUUUUUACCCGGAAUGAUAAGGAGGGAACCGGGAGAAUAAGCUCGGGCAAACUCCGU